UACGUAGGGUGCAAGCGUUUGUCCGGAAUUAUUGGGCGUAAAGAGCUCGUAGGCGGUUUGUCACGUCGGCUGUGAAAACCCGAGGCUCAACCUCGGGCCUGCAGUCGAUACGGGCAGACUAGAGUGCUGUAGGGGAGACUGGAAUUCCUGGUGUAGCGGUAAAAUGCGCAGAUAUCAGGAGGAACACCGAUGGCGAAGGCAGAUCUCUGGGCCGUAACUGACGCUGAGGAGCGAAAGCAUGGGGAGCGAACAGG
rnacentral:rRNA from 1 species